CAGCAGCCACGGUAAUACGGAGGGUGCAAGUGUUGUCCGGAUUUAUUGGGUUUAAAUGGUGCGCAGGCGGGGGGGUCAGUCCGCGGUGAAAGACGAUCGCUCAACGAUUGCAGUGCCGUGGAUACUGCCCUUCUUGAAUCUGGUUGAGGCCGGUGGAAUUGACCGUGUAGCGGUGAAAUGCAUAGAUAUGGUCAAGAACUCCAAUUGCGAAGGCAGCCGGCUGGGCCAGCAUUGACGCCCAGGCACGAGAGUGCGGGGAUCAAACAGGAUUAGAUACCCGUGUAGUCCCUGUCUCUUAUAC
rnacentral:rRNA from 1 species